GAGCCCGAUGUGGGACUCGAUCCAGGUCUCCAGGAUCACACCCCAGGCUGCAGGUGGCGCCAAACCGCUGAGCCACCCGGGCUGCCCCCAUCCGCUGUUCCUGAGUCGUAUCCUUUACAAGCAUACCCCAAACUUUGAAGCCAGUUGGGGCCCCAGUGUGGGUAACCUGCGGACCCGGUACUGUGGCUCCUGAAGUGGAGGAUGUCUCUGGGUCCCUGCAGCCAGCGGGCUUCCUUAACAAAGCCACCAACUCAGGGCUCAAACUGAGGUGUCACAGGGCCGUGCUACUUCUGGGCACAGCCUCUCCCAGCCUCUGGUGGUGCUGGCGUUCCUUGGCGUCCCUUGGAUGGUGGAUGCAUCACCCCAUCUCUGACUCCGGGGUCACAUGGCAUCUCUCCUCUGGGCUCACGAGGCUGGGCAUCCCCAGGACACUGUGCGUGCAGAGGCCUGUGCACACAGGUUUGCUCUCCACAUGCACCAUCUGCUCCCCUCUUUCACCCCUUGGGGAUCGCUCAGCAUCUGUUGUGUCUGGAGCUGCCUGGCUCUCCGUCGUGGGCGUCGCUUCUCAGCGGUCAGGUGACUUUCAGGACGUGAUCACCAAGGCCAGAAAGAGCAAAGCUUGUUGUCACAGAAGUCACUCUCACAGACCAAGCAUGACAUCAGUUCCUGCCAGGGAAGCACCUGGUCCCAGGGUUGCCCAACCGUGAACAUUUUACCAUGUUUGCUUCAGACCUAAAGCUGCAGAGCGGACUCUUUCAGGGCGUGUUCUCGAAAACCAGGGUCUUGUGCUGCACCUGUGGGGGGCUGUUAGUGCUGACACAGUGAGGUACCUCCUCUACUCUGCAAUCUGUUACCUGGCCCGAUAAUGACCCUGCACACUGCUCCCUCGGGUCACUGCCGGGCAUUUUACCAUCUCGGUGUCCAUUGAUGGGGUUUCUCGGCCAUUCCAUCCUCCCACUGGGGAUUUUGUGCGGAUAUGAGGACUCUUGGCUUCUGUGCGUUGUAUUUAGCCUUACCGAGGUCCUUUAUUAUUUGAGUCUGUGAUCUCCCUGUCGAUGGUCUGGGGCUGUGCGUGCUGCCUGUUUGGGAGGCACGACGUGAGGCUGGGUUUGAGUGUAGAGAAGAUGAAAUGAAAUGCUCACUCCUCAGCCAUGUGUACCCCAUUUCCAGUGCUUAGUGGCCACAGGUGCUGGGCUGGUUGCGGAUGCUGAGGAUGUGGAACAUCCCAUCAUCACGAAAAGUCUCCACGGGAUUUCCAGGUACAAAAGUGUACCUUUGCAAAUGGAGUCAGCCCCUGUGGGCUCCAUUCUUGUAGCCCCAAUGCGCUCCCCAGUUGGACCGUAGUGGUUGAGGCCUCUGGUGCCGGUUUCAUGGGCAGUGGGGGGAGCAGGCAUGGCUGCCAUCCUGCCCCCGAGGACGUCCACAUCUGCUUCUUCAGUUAGGCAUAGGUGUACCAAAAGGCAUAUCCAUGUCACUGUGCCAAGAAAGCAGCAAUCAAUUCCUACUGUCUUUACUCUUUCCGUUUUAUUAUUAUUUGUUAAGAUUUAUUUAUUGAUUGUUUCCUGAGAGACCCAGAGAGUGAGGCAGAGACACAGGAGGGAGAUGCAGGUUCCACGCAGGGAGCCCGAUGAGGGACUCGAUCCCGGGACCCUGGGGUCAUGGCCUGGGCUGAAGUCAGCCACGACCGCUGGACCACCAGGCGUCCCACUGUUUCCGUGUUCAUCAGGAGUGGGCGUCAUUCUGCCCGAGGUCCCUGUGCACCUCUGGGGAGAAGCCGCCGUCUCUCCUGGAAGGUCACUGUAGCAUCCCUGGGUUUCCCAGUGGAGAAGCAGCCGGGGUGCCUGGGAGCUGGUCCGCGGGGUCCGGUGCCCUCCUCCCGUGCAUGGGCUCCGUCUGCGGGCCUCCCGGGGGUGGC